rnacentral:lncRNA from 1 species
AUGGGUGAAAACGCUGGAGGAGAAAGUCAUCGCUCUGUAAUUGGCCCUUGGACUCCCCUGGCAUCUCGUGUACAGCAUGAAGUUUUCAGCUAUGAAGAUUUCCAGAGAUUCCAGAAUGAAAAACAAGCCGAGAACCAAGCCCUUAGGGAGGAGAACCAAGCUCUGAGGGAGGAGAACCAAGCUCUGAGGGAAAGCACUGCACGAGCAGCUUCGGAUGACAGCGGCUCACUUCAAGAGCAGGUGAAGCAAGUUGGGACAAUGUUGAAGACGUUUGCUCGCACUGGGCAAUCAGGUGCAGAUCAGACCUUAAUGCUGCGACGUCUUGGAGAGUUUGGCGAUGUUGUGCCUAGCAUGGACAACAAAAUGGACACUAUGCUGCAACAUUUCAGUGCCAAUGUGUCUGUUGGAGAGUUAUCCCUGCCAGGGGAUCUGUUACUCCCCCUAGACACCCAGGAAGAUUUGGCGUUGCUUGACAACAGUUUGAGGCAGGAUAAAGAGCUCCAGGAACGAUUUCUUCGGUUUUUGGCAAUCAAAUGUGGGAGGGACCUAAAGACAACCGUCUGGCGGAUGCUUCAAAGUAUCUUCUCUAAUCACCUUUCCAUCAAUACAACCUGGACUGGAGUUGGGGAUAAAGCAUGUUUUAGAGACAUGUUCCUGAAGACCAUUGUUCAAAGUAAGUUGGAUGUAAAAAAAAAAAAAAAAAAAAUGUUUAGUAGAUGUGUAUGGCAUUAUGCCAUUCAAAUGGAAUGACAGAUCUGUAUUUUCUACAGGAGCCAUCCGGAAGAACCCGGCAACACAGGAUGCCACUGAUGAAGCCAUCCAGGUUAACGUUACGCGUUACCUGAAAGGAGCAUCUGACCGUGAAGGCGGAAAAAGGCGCCGCACAGCUGAGAGGGACCCACAGCCGACCCCUUAAACCUAGGCUGACUACUGACAUCCCAGCAUCACUGACAACUGGAACCCUUUCUUUAUCCUGCAGUCAGUAACAUCAAGACCCCUAAAGAAGCCAGAAGUGUCAGACUGCACUCCCCAAUCCACACUGUUCACUGUGGAUAUUAUCAUAGUGCUUAACUUAUUAUAUUGUUAAAUAUAGCUUGUAAAUCCUUGUGCCACAGGUCAGCAUUGCAGUUAUAUCUGUUCUACUACUUUUUUUACCUCAGUAUUUUUUAUAUAUAUUUGAAGAUGUUUAUCACAGAUACAAGAGACAUCUUGUACCCCAGGUCAGCAAUGCCAUUAUAAUGGUCUAUUCUACUCCAGAGCUUUAUUCUAAAUUAUUACCACUUAUCUUAUUGUUAGAAAUGGCUUGUAAAUGUGAUGUUAUACCUGAAUUUUUUUUGGUGUCCUGCACAUUCUUUGGUACCAGAUAUACUCAUUACUUAUGUUUACUGGUAAUUCUUUUCAUGCCAGAGCUGACCUCUUUAUAUUAUUAACAAUUAUUGUAAGUGUUAUAAUUUGCUUGUAAGCUAAGGCUGUUUUUUUUUUUUAACAAUUUAAUUGGAAACCUGUGUGUGUGUGUGUGUGUAUUUAUUUAUUUAUUUAUUUUUUCUCUUUUUUUCUGUUAUUUAUAUUUCAGGGAUCUGACAUCAUGUUUCAAUGACAGUUACUGUACUUUGAAAUGUGGAAUUAAAACGUCAAAUGGAAAUUUGUCUGGUUUGAUCAAUCAUUAUUCUUGAUAAACUGCAUAAUAUAUAUAUAUAAAUAAAUAAAUAAAUAAGCAAGCGGCGACCGAUCGCUCGAAAAUAGCGUUUGCCUCCGACGGGCCGCGGAAGGGUCGCCUUUGAUAUAACGGCGGCGGGACGGCGGUUGGCCCGCGGGCCGGCCGCGGAACGAAGGCGGUAGGAAGGCGGCUGCCGCUUCUAAAAAGCGGCUGCCGCCGGCGGUGCACCGUCAAACGUGUUUGCGAUUACGCUAUUCUGACGCUUCUACUGCCGCCGGAGCGCCGCCGGCGGUCCGCCGACUCAUUGCUAUCUGGGAUAUGUCUAUCUCAACCUCAGGGUCAGCAAGUAGGCUAUCACGUAGGUUUGGCGUUCAUCUUGUGUAAUUUUAUUUUGCAUACAAAGUUUGUAUACAUUCACUUUUAGCAUUUUCCAAUAUAUAGCCUAUAACACAAAUGUGAAAAACUUGACGUUUUAAAAAAAUAAAGGUUCCAAUAGAAAGAACGUUUUGUGCGUCUGAAACUUUCCAGAGCCUUUAUUUUUAAGACUGUUUGUCCAGUCUGGUCAUAAUUGUCUUGUUUAUAUAUGCAAAAAAAUGCUACAAGUCAAAUGCUUUCUGAUAUGUUGAUGCAUUACCAUUGAACUUGUUCAGAAUUACAGAUACAUAAAUACAGAGUACAUAAAUGAGUAUUGAUCAUGUAAAUAAAACACGACUCCUGUACAAUAUAUAAGGAACAAAUAUGGUUUGAGCAAGAAAUGUUGAGAUAUGAUUUAUUAAAAAUAAAGCCAAGGUAUUUCCCUCUUUCUGUUUUCAAAUUAAUGCUAAAUUACAAUAUGUACUGUGUGUGUGUGUGUGUGGACUAACCAUGCAAUGCUGAAUGUAAUACAACAUUGGUAAUCAGAGAGAAACCUUGAGCGAAAUUGAACUU